UACGAAGGGGGCUAGCGUUGCUCGGAAUCACUGGGCGUAAAGGGCGCGUAGGCGGCCAUUCAAGUCAGAGGUGAAAGCCCAAGGCUCAACCUUGGAACUGCCUUUGAUACUGUUUGGCUUGAGACCGGUAGAGGUAAGUGGAACUGCGAGUGUAGAGGUGAAAUUCGUAGAUAUCGAGAGGAACACCGGUGGCGAAGGCGGCGAUCUGGACGAUGACUGACGCUGAGACGCGAAAGCGUGGGGAGCAAACAGG
rnacentral:rRNA from 1 species